GGCUUACUCGUAUAAAGGUUAUUAUGUUGGACUGUCUAUCCAAAGAUAAGGGUUCGAUUCCCUUGUAGGUCG
rnacentral:tRNA from 1 species